rnacentral:lncRNA from 1 species
UUGGUUUUGAAAUGUGAGGACAUGAGAUUUGGAGGGGCCAGGGGUGGAAUGAUAUGCUUUGGCUGUGUCCCUGCCAAAAUCUCAACUUGAAUUAUAUCUCUCAGAAUUCCCACGUGUUGUAGGAGGGACCCAGGGGGAGAUAAUUGAAUCAUGGGGGCCCAUCUUUCCCAUGCUAUUCUCAUGAUAGUGAAUAAGUCUCAGGAGAUCUGAUGGGUUUAUCAGGGGUUUCCACUUUUGCUUCUUCCUCAUUUUCUCUUGCUGCUGCCAUGUAAGAAGUGCCUUUCACCUUCCGCCACGAUUCUCAGGCCUCCCCAGCCAUGUGGAACUCUCUGCCCUCAUCAUGAGACCAUGCCCAGGCUAGUCUGCUGGAAGGAAGUCAGAGGCACACGGAAGAGAGCCACAUUCAGCCAAGGCCAUUCUAGACCAGUUGUUCCCUGUCACUUCACUAAUUGGCCACAGCACAAGGUUUUGUUGAAGAUUGAAUGAGUGUGUAAAGUGCCCAACAGAAAGUCUGGCACAUGGUACACGGAUGGAGCUGGAAGCCAUUAUCCUCAGCAAACUAAUGUAGGAACAGAAAACCAAAUAUUGCAUGUUCUUACUUAUAAGUGGGAGCUGAACAACGAGAACACAUGGACACAGGGAGGGAAACAACACACACUGGGGCCUGUCCAGCAGUAAGGUUGAGGCAGGGAAAGCAUUAGGAAAAAUAGCUAUGCAUGCUGGGCUGAAUACUGGGUGAUGGAUUGAUAGGUGCAGCAAACCACCAUGGCAUAUGUUUACCUUUGUAAGAAACCAGCACAUCCUGCACAUGUACCCUGGAACUUAAAAUAAAAAUUAAAAUGUUUUUUAAAAAAGUCAUGAUGUUUUCUCAGCAGCCCAGUUUACUUUUCCAGACCCCUCUGGCAUGUGUUACUCCAGAAAAAGGCCGGUGUGUGUGAA